rnacentral:rRNA from 1 species
GACGAACGCUGGCGGCGCGCUUAACACAUGCAAGUCGAGCGAGAACCAGCCCUUCGGGGCUGGGGAGAGCGGCGAACGGGUGAGUAACACGUGGGUAAUCAACCCUCGGUACUGGGAUAGCCCGGGGAAACCCGGAUUAAUACCGGAUGGCCCUUCGAAUCCUCGGAUUUGAAGGAAAAGGUAGCUUCGGCCUCCGACCGAGGACGAGCCCGCGGCGGAUUAGAUUGUUGGUGGGGUAACGGCCUACCAAGGCGACGAUCCGUAGCUGGGCUGAGAGGAGGACCAGCCAAACUGGGACUGAGACACGGCCCAGACUUCUACGGAAGGCAGCAGUGGGGAAUCUUGCGCAAAUGCGGGAAACCGUGACGCAGCGAGGCCGCGUGGGGGAAGAAGGCCUUCGGGUUGUAAACCUCUUUCAGGAGGGACGAAGCUACUCGGGUUAAUAGCCCAGAGGGUGACGGUACCUCCAGAAGAAGCCCCGGCUAACUACGUGCCAGCCGCCGCGGUAA